rnacentral:rRNA from 1 species
GAUGAACGCUAGCUACAGGCUUAACACAUGCAAGUCGCGGGGCAGCAUGGGGGUUGCUUGCAAUCCCCGAUGGCGACCGGCGCACGGGUGAGUAACGCGUAUCCAACCUGCCCUUCACCACGGGAUAACCCGGCGAAAGUCGGACUAAUACCGUAUGUUGUCCAUUGACGGCAUCCGAUUUGGACGAAAGGUUUGGCGGUGAAGGAUGGGGAUGCAUCCGAUUAGCUGGACGGCGGGGUGACGGCCCACCGUGGCGACGAUCGGUAGGGGUUCUGAGAGGAAGGUCCCCCACACUGGAACUGAGACACGGUCCAGACUCCUACGGGAGGCAGCAGUGAGGAAUAUUGGUCAAUGGGCGUAAGCCUGAACCAGCCAAGUAGCGUGCAGGAUGACGGCCCUAUGGGUUGUAAACUGCUUUUAUGCGGGGAUAAAGUGGCCCACGUGUGGGUUUUUGCAGGUACCGCAUGAAUAAGGACCGGCUAAUUCCGUG